UCCAAUUUAUCAAUGAAACCAUCAAGGGGAAGGCAGGAACCAUGCCCAGCCAAAAGAGCAGCAUUGAAGUCUACUGCAGCAACUGCUUUUAGCUUAAGGUCAGGACGCGUUGCACAAGUGAAGCCUUUGUAUUUGCAAACAUUGUUGCCUUUCCAUGUUUUUGCGUAGCCCUUGGGGUCACUAAAGAUUUGUGUCUUGAAAUUUUGGAUCACAGGGUAAGCUUUUGCAAUUAGCGGGCUUUCAAAGCAGCCAUAUUGUGGGUCUCGGUAUUUACAUGGAGGUGGUGGCGGCGGAGGGGGAGGCGGCGGCGGCGGUGGCGGUGGGGGAGGCGGCGGCGGCGGUGGCGGGGGCGGAGGCGGCGGCGGCGGUGGGGGAGGCGGCGGCGGCGGCGACGGUGGGGGUGGACAUUCAGGUUCAGGCGGGGGAGGAGGGGGUGGACAUUCCUCGAUGUGAGAAGGGGCAGGAGCUUCCC
rnacentral:lncRNA from 1 species